rnacentral:rRNA from 1 species
AUUGAACGCUGGCGGCAGGCCUAACACAUGCAAGUCGCACGAGCGGCGGACGGGUGAGUAAUGUAUGGGGACUGCCCGAUAGAGGGGGAUAACUACUGGAAACGGUGGCUAAUACCGCAUACUAUCGGAUAACCCAUAUGGGAUUAGAUAGUAGGUGGGGUAAAGGCUCACCUAGGCGACUAUCUCUAGCUGGUCUGAGAGGAUGAUCAGCCACACUGGGACUGAGACCCGGGCCAGGUUCCGACGGAGGCAGCAGUGGGGAAGAUUGCACAAUGGGGGCAUGCCUGAUGCAGCCAGGGGGCGGGUAUGAAGAAGGCCUUAGGGUUGUAAAGUACUUGCAGCGGGGAGGCGUUACACGCAGAAGAAGCACCGGCUGACUCCGUGCCAGCAGCGGCGGUAAUAC